CUGUCCUAAAUCCCUCAAGCCUCACCUUUCCUGAGUCUUCACAUCUUUUUAUUUUGCUACAGCUGGGCUUGGCUCCUGCUGGAAGAGUAAGAAUACCUAACACUCACCGCUUAGUUCAAAGAUGUCAAAAACACCUGCCACUUAGGAGGCUGUGAGAGCAGGAAGGAAGUACAAAAUGGCAGGCCUGAAAAGAGCUUCAGUGACUUGGGAGAGUUGGGGAUUGUUGGUCUAUGACAGGAAACAGAAGUGAAACUUGAGUGACAUCUGUCAUCAUACAGCGGCACACAAAUUCACCUCCUUAGAAAGGCCACUGCCUGGUGGGUCUGAG
rnacentral:lncRNA from 1 species